rnacentral:lncRNA from 1 species
AAGGUCAGGCCCCAACACCCCUCCUGGAGAACACCACAGGUGUACCUGGGGGCCCGGCCCCGGCCCCCGGGAGGCCCUCCCGCGGGCUGGCUGCCGGGGAGGUGCCGCCGAGCAGGGGCCAUUCGCGCGGGAGGGCGGCGGAGGGCAGGCGGGCCGGGGGCCGGCCCCACGAGGGACAAACGGGGCGAGGGGCGGCAAGGGAGCGGACGGCGAGGGGACGCCGCGACGGGAGCCGGGGGCCGGGCGCCGCGGGGCGCGGCAGGGGGGCUGGGAGGGCCACACCGGGCACCGGGCCGGCGGCCGAGGCUUGGAAGGGAGCGAGGAGCGCUCCGAGGCAUCGGGGACAAAGAGGACCGGGAGGGAGGGAGGGGGGCGAGGUGGGGAGCAGAGGGGCCCGGGAGGGGGAGCCGCGGCGCGCGCGACGGGCGCUGCCGGGCUGCGCGGGGCGCGGGGCGCGGGGCGCGGGGCGCGGGGCAGGGGCCGCGGCGGGGCGGGGCGGGCCGGGGCGGGCCGGGGCGGGGUCGGCGCGCCCGGGGGCGGGCCGGGCCGGGGAGCGCACCGGCGGGGCGGGCGGCGCGCCAGCUGCCCGCGGUGGGAGGGGCGGAGCGGCGGCGGCGCGGGGAGGGGACCGGCGGCGGAGCAGGAGGGGGGAAGGAGGGGAGGGGCCGGGCCCCUUGUCUCCGCCGCUCCUCUGCUCAGUCCGCCCGGGAGGAGGAGGAGGAGCGGGGCCAGCCGCCGCCGCCGCCGUCCCAGCCUCGCCCCGCGCACCUGAACUCGCCGCGCCGCCCGGGCCCCCGCGCCGCGCCCCGCGCCCCGGGCGCACGGCCCGCGCGCAGCGCUGCCUCGGUGCCCCGGCGGGGCGCGUCCCCCGGGCCGCCUCCCGCUCUCCCGCGGCUCGCGUGGCCGCGCCUUUGUGUGCGGCGGCCGCGGCUCCCGGGCUCCCCGGGCUCCCCGGGCUCCCCGGGCUCGGGUCGCGGCGCCCCUCCGGCCGCGAGCCCCUCACGCGCCGCCCGCGGGCAGCCCCGGCCGGGCGCCCCCGACGGUGGAUCUAGCGGCUGCGAGGAGGCGGGCAGCGGCCCCGGCGAGCCCCAGCCCCGGCCCCCCGGCCCCCCG